UCUGACCCCCCUCCUCCUUUCAGGGUGAAGCCUGCUGGAGUCCGAUGGUUGAGACCAGGUCUGAGGAAGUAUUCCUGUGAACUCACAAUCGACACAAACACAGUACACAGAAAGAUCAAACUGUCUGACAACAACAGGAAGGCGACACGUGUGUGGGACGAUCAGUCAUAUCCUGAUCAUCCAGACAGGUUUGACUACUGGCCUCAGCUGCUGUGUACAGAUGGUCUGACUGGUCGCUGUUACUGGGAGGUCGAGUGGAGAGGACACAUUAAUAUAUCAGUGAGUUACAGAGGAAUCAGAAGGAGAGGAGAAGACUGUGAGUUUGGAUGGAAUGAUCAUUCCUGGAGACUGAGGUGCUCUGAUGGUCGUUACUCUGUCUGUCACAAUAACACAGAAAUACCCAUCUCCUCCUCCUCCUCCUCCUCCUCCUCCUCCUCCUCUGGUAGAGUAGCAGUGUAUGUGGACUGUCCUGCUGGCUCUCUGUCCUUCUACAGAGUCUCCUCUGACACACUGAUCCACCUCCACACCUUCAACACCACAUUCACUGAACCUCUUUAUCCUGGCUUUGGGCUCAGGUGGUCCUGGUCUGGUUCCUCAGUGUCUCUGUGUUCUGUGUAGGAGGGAGAGUCUCCUCCUGGUAGAGAACAGAUCAGUUGAGUCUGUACAGGAUCACAGAAAUCUUUCAGCUUCUUGUAAUAAAUCCAUCAAUGAACUUUGUACAAAGUGAUUCAAAGUGAUUGAACAGAUUCCUCAUUUCCAUGUAAACUUCUUCCACUUCCAGUCCUUUAAAGAUGGAAGCUCUGAUCAUUAAAUGGUGGAAAUGCCGUUGACUUGGACCUUCUGUCAUGUGUUGCUUUGAAUUCUGGCUCUUGUUCCAAUAAAAGCAGAAUGUUACUGUGA